rnacentral:tRNA from 1 species
GGGCGCUUAGCUCAGUUGGUUAGAGCACUUCCUUUACACGGAAGGGGUCGGGGGUUCGAGUCCCUCAGCGCCCACAA